CUGGUUAAAAGUUUUCCGGCACUUUAGUCAGAAAUAGCUCACUGAAUGUUUCCUUAACGAAAGAAGAAGUUGGAAAGAACGUAACGCAUAAAAUUUCAUAUACUUUAGAUAGAUACGCAGGUCAUUUAAACAGUAAAUUUAUAUGCACGGUAAUUUUUUAAAAACAUCAAAGAUUGAUUAUUAUAUAUUGAACUUGCGCUUUUUUUUGUUUGCUUUAUUUCUGAUAACCGAUUGAUAAAAAAUGAGUAUUACGAGAGAGAGGAUAGCGUCUCUCGAGCUAAUUUGUAGUACGUAAACAAAGUAGUACAAAGACUCCUGAAGCUUAGUGGAUGAACACCGACGAAGUUUGAAAUAUUCAACGACAUUUAUGCGAUGCGUCGCAUGCUCUCUCGUAGAAUGUACACUUUGCUAGCUUUCUCCGGUUGGUAAUUUUAUUAAAAAAAAUAUUGCGCUCGGCAACAACAUAAUUUAUCAAAGGUAUAACGAUGUUAGUGCGCUGUGUAACGCAAUUAUACAUGCGCGUUUAUCGGAACGCCAGCGUAGGUAAUGACUUUCUCUCUCUCUCUCUUCCUUUCGGGUCUCUCUCGCCAUUUUUCGUUGUCGACGAUAUCAUUGACGCGAAAUAGAUGCACGCGGAAGCGGGGAGAUAAUGUGGAAAAAAAGGGCUGGCAGUCGACGGAAUUGCGAGAUAUUUCAUGUAAAUUCCACCCCAUUUUACGCAGUCCACGCGCUGUUCCGGAGGCCUCCGCGCAAAUAAAUACCCGCCGCAAGCGGAAUACCUAUGGAAAUAUUACCCCGGGAAUAUGUUCGGUAGCGAAUUGAAAAUGAACAGGACAUUUGAUACAAAUCUUUUGUGUCGGCAUUCGCAUAUCCCCCAUUAUUGAGCCCCAGCAAGACGAGCCGACGCUCAAUAUUUUAUCUUCAUUUUUUCACAGUCCAUUUUAUUGCUUUUAUACUUUAGAGUUAGAGCUUUGAUCAAUUAAAUGUUAUAGGUGAUAUUGUAAUCUUUGGAAGAGAAUGUUUGAAGAGAGAGGAGAGAGGAUCAAGUCAAGAGCACGUCUUUGCUCAAGAGCUGCUGUUAUUAAUGAGGAACUUAUCAGAUGCAUAUUAUCAACGUAAUAAUGAUAUAGAAUGCUGGAUUAUAAGAUGUUUAGAAAAUACUGCCGAUAUUGAAAGGAGAAUUGAGCGCAUAAUCUCUCGAAUGAGAUAUCUUAUCGCACCCGUGUCGAUCACCUAUUCACGUGUGGCCGCUUUUGUGUUACUUCUCGGAUUACCAUUGUAAAAGAAGCAUUCGCAAUCUCUUUCCACCACAAUUUAAUUGUUAUGUCUUUGGAUCGAUAGAAAUGUCGAUUCUGUCGAUGUUAAUCUAUGGCGUCGAUAUCGGUCGAGAUAGUAAACGGCUUUUACGUUUUCUUGCCGCAUUGCUUCUCUUACAAUUCUUCCGAAAUAAUUACGGUUGGAAACUAACGUUCUGUUAAAAGUAAAAUAUAAAAGUAAAUUUCAAUUUUCAGUGAUAAAAAUGUUGAUGCCAGACUUGAGAUUUUGCUUUUUUUCAACAGAAUUAAUUGAAAUUAAUUGGCGAGAUUUUGAAUCUAUUUUAUGUUUGUGUAGAAAUUGAUCUCUAUUAGAUAAUUUUAUCACAUAAUUUAUCCGAAUAUUUAACAAUUCUUACUCGCUUAAAAUUUUAAUUUUCGAUAUUAAACAGUUGCGAAUAAAUUAGAUACGAUCGUAUCUACUUUAUGUAGAUAUCAUUAUUCUAUUUUCAGAUAUCGAUCGAAGUGUAAUCGAUUAUCAAAAUAAUAAUGACAAUUAUUAAUUCGACGAGACAUUAAUCAAGCUCAACAAGCUCGUGAGCUUUAUUGACUCAAUCGUUCUCGAAGAUAUUUCUUCGGAUUGUAAGCCACUAAGAGUAUCAUUGGCCUCCUCGUUGGGCGUAGAAUUUCAUUCGUAUCGACGUUUGCUGUUAUACUUUCUGUGGGUGGUCGAGACCAGCGAGCUAAAACAUAAGUUCUCUCUAUAGAAGGAUAUUGUUUGAGCUCCGAUUUCUAUCGUGAUGACAAACAUGGGUGUUAGUUUACCGCGUGAUUCAAUUCGCAAUAGGAUCGAUUAAUCGUAGUCCGACACGCCUUCGAUAUUACGACUUUUGCCUUAUCGCUUAAGCAACCUUGGGUUGUUGCUAUCGCUUUAACUCUCUGCUAAUAAUUAAUUUCCUAAAAAGCAAGAAUUAUGAAAUAAAGAUAUCGAGCGAGGACAGAUUUGUGCAAUGCGCGAUAAACUUUUUAUUGGCGAAAUUCAAGUUUGAUAAAUGGGUUAAGUAUUUCGUAACAUUCGUCUCAUUUCGGUUCUUCUUCUGUUCUCCUUAAAAAAGAUUUUAUAUAACUGAAUUUAUCUUGCUAUAAUUUGUUCAUUAUUCCGUAAUCGAUGUUAGUUACAAAUGUAAAAUAUUUAUUUCUUAAGAAGAAUCGUCACGUGUAAUUAAAGAUUUUCUCCCAGCACGUUGGCAUUAAUGCUUUAUUUUGUUCCGCUGAUAUAAUUUAGAUAUACGAAUACAUUUAACAGUUUGGUUUGAUCGAUAUUUCUUAUAAUCGUUCAUGUCUUCUUACGAGACCUACAUUUUAAGGAAUUCUAGGACGCUAUCGCGAAUGCUCCUCGUUGAAUAGUUUCUCAACUUUACAAAUCAUUAAGUUGACUUGUUGAGAAAUUUCUUACUGUAUUAGAUGCUUGUGGUGUCAACCGUAAGAACAUAUUCUUGAAACAAGUUGUUUGCUGGUCAAUGGAUAAUUUAUCAAAUGCACAUGGAAAAUAGUUGAAAUGUUUCAGUUAUUCGAAAUAAUUGUUCUGUGCUAAACGUAUCAUGAUUAUUCUAUUUAUUAUAUGAAGACAGAAAAUUACUUAAUUAACUUGUGUUUAAUUAAUAUAUGAUAUAUAAAUGAAAUGCUGGUACUUUUAAUGUUUAAUUUCAUAAUGUUAGUAUUUUUUACAGAAAGAAAUAAAAUAAAUUACUUAAACGUUAUUUUUUUCGUAUGAUUUUCGUUAAAUAAAUAUUCCUUUAACGUUAUUGCUCCAACUUCUGUAUCGAGCGCGAUGCUUAAAGCGCAUGUUUCGUGCCUCAUUAGGAAAUUCGCUACUCUCGUGGGUAUUCAUUGAAGUAUACCGAGCGAACAAUCUUCUCCCUUGCAUUGUUCGGUAGUAAAACGACCUUAUCUUUAGCGCAAGUUGGCAAAGAACAGGAAGACAAAGAAAAGGAGAGGGAGAUACGAUAAGCAAAUAAAGGGAAGAAAAACGCGUCGUUGCAUGAACGACGCGCUACCGCAAAAAUUGCCAUCGUUAUACAAUUCCUGAAUCGACUUCAAAGCGAAUGAUCUCCUUAAAACAAACCAUGGAUAUUGCUUCUAUUCACUACAAGUUGCCCUCUCUUGCCGUUUCUCGCUUUAUCACGUUUCUCAUGACAGUUGAACUUUCCCAUUUAAUUAUUUUCUUGGAAUAGUUAUCAUUUGGAACGUUUACAAACAGUUUCUGAUCAAGUCACAUCGUUAUUACAUUUAUGUAAUGAUGUUUGACAUGCAAAUUGCGUUGCCGCACGCGAAGGACAAUUUUGCUGAAAUAUAGAUCUGCAGAAAAUAAUUAUGUUGAACCAUUCAAAAAAUUGUAUUGGAUUGUUUAACUUGACUGUUCCAGGUCAAAACUGUUUGCAACAACAUUAUCAUGCUUGAACUUAUAUAAUUAUCUUGAUAGCCCAUAAAAUUAUUUUCCGCUCUGUAUCUAGCUAAAUUUUUAGACGCAAUAAAAUUGUUUUUUUUUUCCGUGCACGAAAGACCUAGAAAUCAAAUUAUUACGUUGAAUAUCAAGUAGAAUAGACGCUCUGUUAUGAUUUCCUGUACAAUUGAAGCUAUUGUACAUCCAUAUCUUGCCAGUUAUUUUGUAAGAUAACAUUAUCUUAAUUUGUUAUGCUCUUUCUAAGAUUCUUUCCAAGAUAUUAGUUUUAAUAAUAUUCAUCCUCAGUAAAAAUAAAAUAUAUUCACGUUCAAGAAAAAAAAGAAUAUUACGAAAAGAAAUGAGAAAGUAGGUACUCUUAAAAAAAAAUCCGUAUGUAAGAGGAAGAUGAAUGUGAACGGUAUAUAACAAUGUGAAAGUCUGUUUUCGUUUCAUCUGUCUCUCUCUCUCUCUCUCUCUCUUUCUUUUCCAUGAAAUAUGGCUGGCCAGUAUACUACUAGAAAGCUUUACACUAAGUACAAUCUUGUCGAAACGUAAAGACUAUUUGAAAUCUUUUAUCUCUUUUGUACCAGCUAUUUCAAAAAAUUUUCACAUUCCAAUCCAUUGUAAAUUAGUCGUAUGUGUAAUCGGCUUAAUCUAUUUUAUUAAUUAUUAUUUUCUUUCAUUAGCAACAAAUUUUGCGGCAAAUUUUUUCAUAAAAAUUUUCUGCAAUAUAAUUUCUUUGUUUUUCACAAAACGUUGCAAUUUUUCUAUAUCUAAUGCUUAAACUUGUUGCUUAAGAAAUGAACAUUGUAACUUCGUAAACAAAAUUUAACUGACGGUAAUAUAGGAAGAUACAGAAAUGUUGGACGUGACAUAAAAUGUAAAUAUUAUUUAAAGUAUGUUAUUGUUUUUUUUCCAAUUAUUUUUUUUAUCCUAAUGCCAGAAUCUUACAUCAUUUAAAAUCUUAAAAUAGUUUUUACAUAUCUUUCUAGAUAAAAAAAGCCAUAGAAAUUAAUAUAUUUUUUUUUAUUAUGCAGGCUUUUCGAAAUUAAUUGUAUCCAAUUUUAUAUAGAAUAUUUUUUUCUGAUUAUCUUAUUGAACCGCCUACAUUCUUACGAGCAAUAAAUUUUUUUGUGAAACCGGGUAAUAUUUUUAUAUUAAAACUUUGUUAUGAAAUACCUCGUUUAAUAUAUGAAAUUUGUAAUAUGCGGUUUCCGUAUGAAGAGAGACUAGCUUUACAGUAGGAAUUGCGUGCGGGUGGCACGCAGCAAAGUGAAAGCGAUAAAUCUCGAAACAAGGUCGCACACGAAAUAGCGUCGCUGCGCAUUCUCGGGCAUGCAUGUACCCUUUGUAUUAAAUUGCGUGUCGAUAAUACUAAUUUAAAUCAACGAAAUUAUAGUAAUUAGUGUUUCAGAAUUAAACUCCGCACGAAUUUCUCAAAAAUUUAACGGAAAAUUCUGUAUUUAACGACGAGGUAAACUAAAACAAGAGAGAAAAAUGGUUUAGAGGAAUUUUAUUUAAUUCUUUAUACAUAGAAACAGAUUUAAAAUUGAUGAUUCAAGCGGGAAUUUUGGGACAAGAGAUUUAGAUUAGAUAGAAGUAACGCAUUUAGAUCCAAAGAUAGACAUUUUAUCGGACUUUAUUGUAACAGUGCACAGGAGACGUUCGCGCGGGUGUUUAUUGACACAAUGCCCGCAAGUCACAGCCGGUUAGCUGUGCUCAAAGAACAACCGCCUUGGUCACGUUGCGCCCCCGAGUUUUGGACCAAUCAGCGCGCGGUUCUGUCCGCUGGAGUCAAUCGUAACGUUACCCACACAGACGCGCGCAGCCUGCCGGCCGGUAGUAACGUUGCCUCGCAUCUCGCGCUCUCCCACUUUCGUAUCGUACGCCGUUGAGAUAGGACGGUAUAUACCUCACGCUCGGACGUACUAACAGUUUAUGCUUGGAACAUAAUAACGCGGCGUGUGUUCGAAUCGGAGUUUUCGUGCACGUGGUCUGGUGUCGGUGACAUUUAUUACGUAAAAUCGUCGAAGUGCAUCUCUAUGCAUUUCUGGCUUCGCCGGCAUUAAAAGCUUCCCCGUCACUGGGUUAAGAGCCAAAGAGGAUUGUCACGUGUGCCAAGACCUUGUGAUAAGAUACUUUUUCCCCUUUUCACAGGUAUCGACAGUAUAUCUUCCAGCAGACAACGGCGGUGCUGGCGCAGAUAUUGCCUUCAUAUAAUCGACGCGCGUCUUCGAAAACCAAUUAAACCGACUGUUUCUUCGCGAGAACGUAUUUCCGUUUCGCGAAGCAUUCGGCAAACUGAGAUCCUGCGAUCUUUGAGUUCGAUCUACGCAUUGAGCGAGAAUCGGAACGUUUUCGAAGAGUGACUCUCUGAUCGUAAAAAGCUCGAAUUUGACGAAAGAAUACAAG